GCCUACGGGAGGCAGCAGUGAGGAAUAUUGGUCAAUGGGCUUACGCCUGAACCAGCCAAGUCGCGUGAGGGGAGACUGCCCUAUGGGUUGUAAACCUCUUUUGUCAGGGAGCAACGCCGGCUACGUGUAGCCGGACUGAGAGUACCUGAAGAAAAAGCAUCGGCUAACUCCGUGCCAGCAGCCGCGGUAAUACGGAGGAUGCGAGCGUUAUCCGGAUUUAUUGGGUUUAAAGGGUGCGUAGGCGGAAUGCCAAGUCAGCGGUAAAAUCGCGGGGCUCAACCCCGGCCCGCCGUUGAAACUGGCAG
rnacentral:rRNA from 1 species